rnacentral:sRNA from 1 species
GGGCUUCUCGCAUCCUAAUUGUUGAUGUUCCUUUGAACCCUUCAGUAACUCGCCAGGCAAUAGGCCGGACAUUUCGACCAGGACAAAAGAAGAAAGUAUACGUCUAUAGAUUGGUUGCUGCUGAUUCGCCUGAAGAGGAAAGUCGCUUAAUCUGCUGCAGGAAGGAAUUGAUUUUGAAGAGGUGGUUCGAGUGGAACGAGAGCUGUGGACAUCAAGACUUUGAUUUGAAGACUGUUGACUUGCAUGACUGUGGUGAUAUGUUCUUGGAAAGUCGAUUGUUGCAGGAAGAUGUAAAGGUUCUACAGAAAAGGUAAACCAUCCAGAGAGGCUAAGCCUUUGGGGGAAUGUAGAUAACCUAACACAAUAUGUCGUAACUAUGAAGGCUUCAUACUCAUCGUUUAAGGCUUUGGUCAGGGAUACCGUAGGCUCUGUAGGCAAGUCCCUUUUGAAAAAUGCAGAUGGUAGGUAAGAAACUGCUGUGCUCGGCUUCUCUUUCUUCUGUAUAUGAAUCUGCAGACUGCAAAUUUGUAACAACUGCAAGUUGACUUGGAUACUUUUAGGCUUUUAGCUGAUUCAGAUGCUCGUUAGCGUUAGAUCUUCUUAGUGAAAGUGUCGCCAAAUGUUCACCCAAAAGCAGGAAAAUUUGUCA